UACGUAGGACCCAAGCGUUGUCCGGAAUUAUUGGGCGUAAAGAGCUUGUAGGCGGUUUGUCGCGUCUGCCGUGAAAAUUCGAGGCUCAACCUCGAACUUGCGGUGGGUACGGGCAGGCUAGAGUGUGGUAGGGGAGACUGGAAUUCCUGGUGUAGCGGUGAAAUGCGCAGAUAUCAGGAGGAACACCGAUGGCGAAGGCAGGUCUCUGGGCCACUACUGACGCUGAGAAGCGAAAGCAUGGGGAGCGAACAGG
rnacentral:rRNA from 1 species